GGGGGCGACCUGGCUUCGACGUGGGUUGCAAAGCAACGCAGGGCAUACCGAGGACCAGUCACCUCGUAAAUCCAUCUGGAAACGCAAUAACUGCGAACGACGAACGUUUCGCUCUCGC
rnacentral:tmRNA from 1 species